UACGUAGGGGGCUAGCGUUGUCCGGAAUCAUUGGGCGUAAAGAGCGUGUAGGCGGCCCGGUAAGUCCGCUGUAAAAGUCAAAGGCUCAACCUUUGAAUGUCAGUGGAUACUGCCGGGCUAGAGUCCGGAAGAGGCGAGUGGAACUGCGAGUGUAGAGGUGAAAUUCGUAGAUAUUCGCAAGAACACCAGUGGCGAAGGCGGCUCACUGGUCCGGUACUGACGCUGAGGUGCGAAAGCGUGGGGAGCAAACAGG
rnacentral:rRNA from 1 species